CAAGCCACAGCUAACCAGUUGCCGCUGAAAUUCAACAGAUUUACACACACACUCGCAACUUUUUAUCUAUGCUACCCACACAUUUACAAAUUUAUUUUUCCGACUGUCAAAACAAAAUUCUGAGUGAGAGCACCGGACCUAAUAAAAAUUUUUACUGUAAUAAGAAUUUUAUGCGUUAGAGCGAGUAAGUGGAAAUGAAGCAAAAUUUGACAGCUUUGAUCACAGAGGCUGUGACUUUAGCAAAAGUUUGACAUCUUUGAUCACAGUAGGCUGUAAAUAAAAGCGUUAAUUUUGCAAAAACAUUUGAAGAUUGCCGAAACACUGCGAUUUAAUCAUAUAAUUAAGAUUUGCGAUUUUUCAUUCUAAAUUUAUCUUCGACCCUGCUACCACGGAACAUCAACGCCACCUCCAGUCAGGCACCACACCAG